rnacentral:rRNA from 1 species
AGAGUUUGAUCCUGGCUCAGGAUGAACGCUAGCUACAGGCUUAACACAUGCAAGUCGCGGGGUAACAUCUGGUAGAGCUUGCUCUUCCAGGAUGACGACCGGCGCACGGGUGAGUAACGCGUAUCCAACCUGGCCCAUACCACGGGAUAGCCCGUCGAAAGGCGGAUUAAUACCGUAUGCUGUCAUUAAGAUGCAUAUAUUGAUGACGAAAGGACUGGCGGUAUGGGAUGGGGAUGCGUCUGAUUAGCUUGUUGGCGGGGUAACGGCCCACCAAGGCGACGAUCAGUAGGGGUUCUGAGAGGAAGGUCCCCCACAUUGGAACUGAGACACGGUCCAAACUCCUACGGGAGGCAGCAGUGAGGAAUAUUGGUCAAUGGGCGCAAGCCUGAACCAGCCAAGUAGCGUGAGGGAAGACUGCCCUACGGGUUGUAAACCUCUUUUGUUUGGGAAUAAAGUGCGGGACGCGUCCCGCAUUGCAUGUACCAUUUGAAUAAGGACCGGCUAAUUCCGUGCCAGCAGCCGCGGUAAUACGGAAGGUCCGGGCGUUAUCCGGAUUUAUUGGGUUUAAAGGGAGCGCAGGCCGUGGGUUAAGCGUGUCGUGAAAUUCCGUCGCUCAACGGCGGACGUGCGGCGCGAACUGGUCCACUUGAGUACGCGGGACGUUGGCGGAAUUCGUGGUGUAGCGGUGAAAUGCUUAGAUAUCACGAAGAACUCCGAUUGCGAAGGCAGCUGACGGUAGCGCAACUGACGCUGAGGCUCGAAAGUGCGGGUAUCGAACAGGAUUAGAUACCCUGGUAGUCCGCACGGUAAACGAUGGAUGCCCGCUAUUCGCCCACCUGGGCGAGUGGCCAAGCGAAAGCGUUAAGCAUCCCACCUGGGGAGUACGCCGGCAACGGUGAAACUCAAAGGAAUUGACGGGGGCCCGCACAAGCGGAGGAACAUGUGGUUUAAUUCGAAGCAACGCGAAGAACCUUACCAAGUCUUGACAUCCUUCUGACCGGUACUUAAUCGUACUUUCUCUUCGGAGCAGGAGUGACAGGUGGUGCAUGGUUGUCGUCAGCUCGUGUCGUGAGAUGUUGGGUUAAGUCCCGCAACGAGCGCAACCCUUAUCUUUAGUAGCCAGCGGUUCGGCCGGGCACUCUAGAGAGACUGCCAGGGAUAACCUGGAGGAAGGCGGGGAUGACGUCAAAUCAUCAUGCCCCUUAUGACUUGGGCUACACACGUGCUACAAUGGCGUAAACAAAGGGAAGCAAAGCUGUGAAGCCGAGCAAAUCUCAAAAAUAACGUCUCAGUUCGGACUGUAGUCUGCAACCCGACUACACGAAGCUGGAAUCGCUAGUAAUCGCAGAUCAGAAUGCUGCGGUGAAUACGUUCCCGGGUCUUGUACACACCGCCCGUCACACCAUGGGAGUUGGGAAUGCCCGAAGCCAGUGACCUAACCGAAAGGAAGGAGCUGUCGAAGGCAGGCUCGAUAACUGGGGUGAAGUCGUAACAAGGUA